AGACUAGGCGCAGGUUCACGCCUUGAUUUAACCCCAUAAUUUCCAGAAGCCCAGACCAGGGCUCCUUGGUGAGCAGAAGCCAGAUUCUACAAUCCAGGCUAAGGUACAGAUGGUGAAACCACGGACUGGGAUUGGCCUCAUAAGAAACACGGUUCUGUUGCGAUCCAGAGGACAGAGUGCCCGCAACCUGGUGAGAAUCCUUGCUCACCCAGAGAAUUUUCAACAAGAGAACACGCUGAAUUAAUGGCCACAUAUCUUGGGUCAGAGAGUCCACUGCCAAGACUUCUAAUCUCACCUGUAGUGACUUCCAAAGCCUCCCUGAAGCCACAAGAUCACCUGGUUCAAUACCUGUACCUUGAAAUCUAAUAAUUCAAGAUUCUAGUCCAUUCUCAGAGUUAAAUAUCCCCAAACAAUGAAAGAUGGCUUAAAUUGGUUUGUUUGUUUGUUUGUUUAUUUGUCACGCCACUCGGCUUGUGGGAUCUUAGUUCCCCAACCCGGACUGAACGUGAGCCCUCGGCAGUGAAAGCGUGGAGUCCUAACCACUGGACCGCCAAGGAAUUCCCUGUUUUUAUUAUUUUAAUAAAUGCACACAAAACAAAAAACUCUUCACUUACAUCUACCAACCAUUUAUAACACCAUCUCCAUUCAUCUUUACUGUUAAAGGUAAGUGUUCCACAGCACUUGAAAAGAAUGUGUGUCCUCUGCUUGUUGAGAAAAGGGUUCUCAUUAAACCUAUUAGACAAGUUUACUAACUCUCAGGCCACUUGCUCUCUCAACUUCUGAUAUGGGCGUGUUAAAAAAUCUUGACUGGGGCUUCCUAGGUGGCGCAGUGGUUAAGAAUCCGCCUGCCAAUGCAGGGGACACAGGUUCGAUCCCUGCUCCAGGAAGAUCCCACAUGCCACGGAGCAACUAAGCCUGUGUGGCAAAAAAAAAAAAAAAAAAAAACUUGACUGUAAGCGGGGAGGGUUGAGGGGGGAAUGAAUUGGGAGACUGGGAUACCAAAUUGUACACUCUAAAUAUAUGCAGUUUAUUGUAAAAAAUAAAAAGUUAAAAAAAAUCUUGACUGUCCUUUUAAUUUUAUUAUUGCUUGUUACGCUGUUCAUGAUUUUCUCUGCUACACGUUCUCUUUGCUUUUUUUCCCCUCUCUUUUCCAACUUGCUGUUGAAGACAUACAAGGCAGGAUCUGGAUGACUUGUUCCAAACUCCUGAUCUGAUGGAGAAAAAACCCAGUAACGUCUGGUACAAAUGUACUUUUUGAAA